CUUCAGCCCCCUCCCUCUUUCCCUCCUCCUGUUUCCCUCUCUCUCUGCCUCUUAUAUCUCUGGAACUGGGAGAGCAAGUGUGCAUGUUUUCAGUUGCCCUGUGAAGAGGCUCCAUAGGAGAGAACGGAGGGAAUGAUUGGCCAACAGACAGGCAGGAACUCAGACUUUCAAUCCAAAGAAACCCCAUCAACAUGCAUCGGGGAGACUAGCACCUGGAUGGAUGUAGACAACACUCCCUGAGACAAGACAAGUCGAUGAAUGAACAACACUUUUGAAGGCAUUACCAAUGGCAUAUCCACCUCCCUAUGGACAUUCCCAAGCAGAAUCACACCCAAGCGUCCCUCCUCUGUCCUGCAUGGUCUUCUGGGAUUCUAUCCAGUGGAACUACCACCCAACGCUGUGCUCAUCCAAGUUGAAGCCAGCAUAUCUCUCAGCUCCUCCUUCCUCGCCUGCCAGUAACACCAAUUCCACUUGCAGAUUGCUCCUCAAAACAUUCCUUCUCUUCAGCUGGGUCCCAGGUAGGUCUUAUCUUUUAUCACCAGAACCAACACCCUAACAUGCUCACUGGAUGCAUUGUCUAAAGGAUGUUCUCUGCCUUGAACAUUAGAGGAUUUUUCUGAAAUGAAGAUCUCACUAGGAACACUCCUGCUCUAGUAUCACCCAUGGCUCCCUAAGGCCUUCAGGCUUAAGUUCAAGCUGCUUGACCAGGCACUGAAGGCCCUCCCACCUCUGGCUCCUGCUGACUCUUCAGCCUCAUUGAUCCAUUCACUCUGAGUUAAACUUGCUGCUUCAGGCAAACCAAAUCCCUGCCCAUUCC
rnacentral:lncRNA from 1 species